UGGAGGAGGCCGGAUCCUGGGCUGUGUCCCAGCACCCAGUGUUCCAGGGCCUGCGCUGUUGGAUUCACGCUCCCGGUCACGCAGCCCCCU
rnacentral:pre_miRNA from 1 species